GUAAUCAAUGCCUCAGGGACACUCCAUAUGAAUGGGAAAACCAAGAACCCCAAAAGAGCAAGAAGAGGACCAGCUGCCCGCACAGUGUCCUCAACACCAAAAGGACCACCAGAAACCUCAUAGAAAAUGAGGAAAAGUAAAGGCAAGACUGAAACUUUCCUAGCAUUAUUUUCUCUGGGUGAUGUAACCUCAUUAAUCCCUGCAUACUCUCCAUCAUCGAACUCCCCCAUUGGUAUUGCAGCUUCUCUAUGAGCAGAAAGCCCUCAAUUUCU
rnacentral:misc_RNA from 1 species